CCCUUUGCAAGGAUAAGCUAGUUGUUGAGGCUUUACACCUCUUCUCUCAAAUGAGGAGUAAAGGCAUUUCACCUGAUGUCAUCACUUAUUACAGCUUAAUUCAUGGUCUUUGCAAAUUAGGCAAAAGAAAUCAAGUUUUGGCCUUGUUGAAUGAAAUGGUGGGGCACAACAUAUCACCAAAUGUUUAUACUUUUAGUCUGUUGAUUGACAGUCUUUGUAAGGAAGGAAUGGUUUCAGAGGCUCAAAAUACAUUCAAAAUAAUGAUUCAAAGAGGUGUGGAGCCUGGUGUGGUCACCUACACCUCCUUAAU
rnacentral:misc_RNA from 1 species